rnacentral:rRNA from 1 species
UACGUAGGGUGCAAGCGUUUGUCCGGAAUUAUUGGGCGUAAAGAGCUCGUAGGCGGUUUGUCGCGUCUGCUGUGAAAACUCAGGGCUUAACCCUGAGCCUGCAGUGGGUACGGGCAGACUAGAGUGUGGUAGGGGAGAUCGGAAUUCCUGGUGUAGCGGUGGAAUGCGCAGGAUAUCAGGAGGAACACCGGUGGCGAAGGCGGAUCUCUGGGCCGAUACUGACGCUGAGGAGCGAAAGCGUGGGGAGCGAACAGG